AACGAACGCUGGCGGCAUGCUUUACACAUGCAAGUCGAACGGUAACAGGGUGCUUGCACCGCUGACGAGUGGCGAACGGGUGAGUAAUGCGUCGGAACGUGCCGAGUAGUGGGGGAUAACGCAGCGAAAGUUGUGCUAAUACCGCAUACGUACUGAGGUAGAAAGUGGGGGACCUUCGGGCCUCACGCUAUUCGAGCGGCCGACGUCUGAUUAGCUAGUAGGUGAGGUAAAGGCUCACCUAGGCGACGAUCAGUAGCGGGUCUGAGAGGAUGAUCCGCGAGACUGGGACUGAGACACGGCCAAGACUCCUACCGGAGGCAGCAGUGGGGAAUUUUGGACAAUGGGCGAAAGCCUGAUCCAGCCACGCCGCGUGUCUGAAGAAGGCCUUCGGGUUGUAAAGGACUUUUGUCAGGGAGGAAAUCCCUAGUGCUAAUAACACUGGGGGAUGACAGUACCUGAAGAAUAAGCACCGGCUAACUACGUGCCAGCCGCCGCCGUAA
rnacentral:rRNA from 1 species